GCAAACUUGGUCAUUUAGAGGAAGUAAAAGUCGUAACAAGGUCUCCGUUGGUGAACCAGCGGAGGGAUCAUUACCGAGUUUACAACUCCCAAACCCCUGUGAACAUACCUAUCGUUGCCUCGGCGGUGUCGCCCCGGUGCCCCCGGGCCCGGACCCAGGCGCCCGCCGGAGGACCACAAAAACUCUUUGUCUUAACAGAGCUUCUUCUGAGUGACACAAGCAAAUAAAUCAAAACUUUCAACAACGGAUCUCUUGGUUCUGGCAUCGAUGAAGAACGCAGC
rnacentral:misc_RNA from 1 species